CCCAAUACCUGGUUCCCAAUUUUGCUUUUAUUAAUAAGAUCUUUUAAGAUUCAUGCUACAAAAGGCUCUUUCUUAAAACAAGUUAUUAGCAUAUAUCAAUUUUGCACACAUAUAGUUCCAAAUAUGUGCACAAUGCACUCUAAUCACUUGAUGAAGUACUUUUUCCACAGAGUACUCUUCCUGUCUGCCGUUUCCACCUUCCCCUGCUCCUCCCUUCUUGGUACCCUCUGAGUAGAUGGCUGGGGAAGACCUGAAUGAAAUAUAAUUCUAUAUGUGUUUAUUGCGUAUUCCUCAGUAGAAUUAUUAGUUUUCCAUUUGUUGAGAUCUUGGGUCUAAAUGUCUUGAGUUUUGUUUGGGGAAAGGAUAAUGAGAAGAAUGUGACUAUUUCUACUUCUAACUAUACCAAAGCAAGGUACUGUUGCUGACCUAUUGUCACGUCCCAAGUGCUGAGAAAGGGCCUGAGAAGACACUGUCAGUUGCUCACAGGUACGAUCUUUGUGACUCAUCUCAGUGACCAGCACCACUGUGGUUUUAUCUGUUCUGUCAGUGUGGUUUGUGAACUGAAGGCUAUUUUCUUCCCUCAUUUGUCUAUAUGUCCAAGUAACUAAUAGCUUAUGAAAACAAAAUAAAGUCAACGAUAGCAAGCAUUUAUCAAAUACUCAUCCAGAUCAGGAACUGUGUGAGUCACUGAAUUCCUUACCGGCCCUGCGAAGUGGGGGUUAGCAUCUCUAUUUUGCAGAAGAGGAAAGCAGAGCUUAGAAGACUUGAAGCCAUCAUUCAAGGUCACAGAGCAGACUCAAGGGCAACAGCUCUCCAGGAAAUCCUCAGGCCUUGGGCAUCAGACUGGAACUGCUGAGAAAUCCAGCCUCAUGAGCUGAACAAUUAUUGGAUUCUCCAUCUCUCUAGUGGAGACAGCCAUUUUUGGACUGCCAGGCCAUACCAUAAGCACAGUGGAUGUUUCACUCGAAGCUGUUCCAGCAUCAGCUUGCAGAAGCAGAAAACCCCACAUUUCAAAGACGGCACAAAGGUGAACCGAUAGGUGCCUGCUUCCAACAGCAAAGCCAUGCAAGGCGCUGGCCCAUGGCUUGGACUUUGUAAUAUGGAAGAGCCCGACACACUGUAAGUGGUUAUCGCUUUGUGGGGCUGCACAGUAUUAAUUUGCACGUUAUUCUGCGAUCACAUGGCACACUUUACCUGUUCUGCGCAUUGGGCAUUUUUAGAAGGAGGGUAAGGUUAGAAGAAGCUGGGCUGCCUUUAACCCCAGGUUUGGAGCAUGCUGUUAUUGCUGCGAUGUACUCUUUGGGGAGCCUGCUCUAGGAACAGAGGUGCGGAUGACAAAGGAGUAGGCCUUUCCCUCCAGGAGCUUACAGGUGAGUGCCUGACACGCAUGUGCUCAGUGCAGUGUGAAGUGUGGGGGAGGGGAAGAUUGGAGGAAAGCGUCCCCAGGAAGUAAACAUAGAGAAGAGACAGAAAUCAGGCCACUGUCCAGAAGUCCAAAUGGAUACGGAUAAUAGGAAUCAAGCACAUGGGUAAGGAUGGCGAGAACUUGGGAGGGAGAGGCAGGAGGAUGACUGUGAGUUCAAUGUUAACUUGGGUUGCAGUCCAAGACCCUGCCUUGACAAAGCAAAACAACAGAAUAAAGACAAGAGAGUAGUCUUGCAGAGAUAGAGAGAUAGCACCUUGUCUGCCAUGGUGUUCUUUAGCUCCUCAUCCAAGGUCAUUUGACAGGAAAUGGUUGCCCUUGGACUUGGGUCAGGCAGGACUGGGUAGGUGUUCUUACCUGUCUAGAUCUUUGUUUUGUCUCCUGUGAUAGGAGGCAGUUGCUGUAUGGUUUCAUGCCCCAUCUUAUUCCUACUUUGGAAUGCCCUAGCUCAUCCCCCUCCUCUUCUAGAAGGUACAUGAAGUCAUGAUGACAUGCCAUCCACCAUCCAUCUGCAAAGUCCUCAAGGUCAUGUCACCACUAGUCACGCCCAACCACAUGCUGAAAAUUUGAAGUCACUUCUGGCUUCGGUAUAGACUUAUUUCAAGGUUUUCAACUUUCAAUUUCCUAUUAAUCAAACAAGAAAAAAAAUCUACCUAAAAUUGCAUUAAAAAAAUCCCAGGACCCCAAAUCUGUGGCCAUCUCUCAUUCCAUCUGCUUUAUAUUUUUACAUGCUGGGUAUAAGUAUUACAUCGAGAGGUCGAAUCACUUCUCAGCGAGAAUCAAAAGGUGCUCUGGUUAAAUUGGGAAGGGCUUGGGAGGGAAGAAGAAAAACCUUUGCCAGAUUCAAAAAAGAAUGAUUUCUCAAAUAGAGUCUAUAAGAUGAACUGUGAGCCUGUAAAAUAACUGUAGGUUUAUAGGAUCUCUUACAGGCCUAUAGGACAACAUGUUGGCUAUAGGAUCUCUCCCCAUUCUGGAAGUCAAGGAAUGUUGUAGUGACUACUGUGUGCUAGAUACUCUAAACAUCAUCUUGUGUUUGCAGCAGCUGUAUCCUGGCUGUGGUGGAAUGCACCUGAAAUCCCAGAAUUCAGGGGGCUAUGUGAUGAGACCAUGUUUCAAAAUAUAAGCAAACAAAAACAAACAUUAGAGUCUUUUCAUCUUUAGUUUUUUGCAUCAUUCAUUUAGUGUGUGUGUGUGUGUGUGUGUGUGUGUGUGUGUGUGUGUGUGUAUUUGAGUGUGCACUGCACACAUACCAAGGUACAUGUGUGGAGGUCGGAGAAGCCAGCUCUUUGCUUCUACCGUGUGGGCCCAGGAUGUUGACCUCAGGUCAUCAGCCUUGGCUUCGAGUAUUCCUACCUUCGGAGACAUCUCACUGGCUCACCAAUGUUUCCAUUGUAAGUUCCCUUCAGGUGACUCCUUUCUAGGAUACACGUGAAUCCACAAGUGUGUGCUGAAGUCAGGGGAAAGUGGCGGCUUCUUGUCUUAUCAACAUCCCUCAAUGAAUGAGGAGGUCAGCCUCCUUUCUUUAGUGACUUAGAGUAAUGACACUGGCGAGUCUCCCUCCAAUUGGUCUCUGCUACCUAAUGAAGAGACAGAAUGUGUGUGUGUGAGAGAGAGAGAGAGGGGGGGAGAGGGAGAGAGGAGAGAGAAGUGAGAGAGGAGAGAGGAGAGAGAGAGAGAGAGAGAGAGAGAGAGAGAGAGAGAGAGAGAGAGAGAGAAUCUGUUUCCUACUUAAACAUUUAAACAGCCCUGGGUUUAUCUCUGCAGCUCACCCCAAGCAGCAGCGGCGGCUCACUCACCAGCCUCUUUCCCCUCCUCUAAGGAGGGACAGGGCUAUAGGCCUGUGAGCAUCCCAAGAAGCAUCUGGGCCAUUCAGGAAGCAUGUAAUGGGAUUUUUAAGUAGGUCUGUGCAGAGAGAAUAGAUGUCUUUAGAACUUAGCUGUUGACGUUCCGGUUGUGAGAGCCGAACAAUUGAUCUCUUCCCUCCUGGAUGCCCGGCUGUAAGCUCUCCUCUGCUAAUACGGAACUUUUCCUUCGGCUGGCACUAACCCAUUACCGCACGUAUAGGGCGUCAGUGACCCUCAAAAUGCCAAGGGCCGCCUGGCAGAGACUAGAGGAGGAAAUCUAAAGGUCCCAGAGAAAAAUUAGUAACAUUUCUAUGUGUGAUCAAUGUGCUCGCCUAAAAAUAAAUAAACAAAUGCUUUUAUAAUACCAUAAAAAAUAGAUUUAACCAAGAAAAGGUAAAGGAUCUGUAGACUGAAAACUCAUGAAAAACCUGAAGAAGACAUAAACAAAUGCAAAGGUACUUCCUGUUUAUGAAUGGGAAGAAUUAGUGUUGUUGAUUGUCACCUUGACAGGCUCUAGAGUCACUUAGGGGUGUCUUUUGAGGGAGUUGGAAAGAAGCCCUACACUGGGUGUGAACAACACUGUGCCGUGGACUGGGGUCCCGGUCUGAAUAAAAAGUAGAAGGCGAGCUCAUUUCUCUGUUUCCUGACUGUGACUGCCAUGUGACUCACUGCCUCAGGCUUCUGCUUCCAUGACAGACUAUCUCCAAACUGUGAGCCAAGAUAAACCCUUCCCUCCUUAGGUCCCAUGUAUCAGAUAUUUUCCCAUAGAAAUGAGAAAAGUAGCUCAUGUACUGUCCACGGCAAUCUAUAGGUCCAAUGCAGUUUCCAUUAAGAUUCCAAUGGCUUUUUU